UAAAAUACAGACAGCGUCACACUGAGCAGCGUCAGUCUCUCAGACACGAACACAUGAUAAAGCUCCUCCAGAGUAAAGGUCUGUGUCCAUGUGUAGUGUGAUUAUAGAUUAUAGAUCAGCUCUAGCUUCUAUAUUAAUACUGUGAAAGUAUCAAAGCCUCAGUCCACAGAGAAAUGCACACAGCCUGUAUUCAGAAACUGAGCCUUAAAACCAGCCGUCAGGACUUCUGGAACUUUGUGAUGUCACAACAAAGCAGUCACCAAGUCCCGCCCACCUGGACCCACCAUCCAAACCUUGCAGGAUUUGGUUUCUCUGAGUGUUUUUACCUGAAAUCUGCUUUAUUUUUAUUGGAUCACUCAGAAAACAGUCAACCAAUCAGAGGAGAGGACUACAGCGUCACUAAACCUUCACUACAGUGUCACAGUGUGUCUUCCCCUCAGCUUAGCCUCAGCAGUGAGUGAAUGUUUAACCAGGUGCUGCAGAGGACUGAGUGUCUCACCUGCUGACAGACUCUUUAUGGUCUGGUUGCUGUGGACCUUGUCCGUCCGGUGUCUCAGUCUGAGCAGGAACACACACUAAGGACUCCAUGAGCUCGUCCACAGACUGUCACGAUGCCAUGGAAUUCCCACGUUUCACCUUUAAUCCAAAGGAGGGGAUUGAUAAUCCAGCUCUGGUCAUCACUGAUGAUCCUGAGCCGGAUCAGGCCGUGGUUCCCAGACUGUGCCAGCUGAAGCGUCUGGAGGGACAGAGCUUUGGGUUCUACCUGCGGAUGGAUCAGAGCAGCCGGAGCUUCGAGAUCAGGGAUGUGGAGCCGUGGAGUCCUGCAGAGCACAGCGGGCUCCGAGAUGGAGACCGGGUCCUGGAGGUCAACGAGGACUAUGUGGGCAACAUGGACUUCUUCAGGGUAGUGAGGAAGAUCCAGUCGUGUGGUUUACACCUGUUCCUCCUGGUGCUGAGGAGAGCCGAGUAUGAACAGGCUGUGUCUUCAGGUGUGGACCUGAAGACUCUGGCCCAGGUCUCCAAAGGGGACCGCUGGUCCAGACCCAGACUGUGUCACAUCAGCAGAGACCCAGAGAAAGGCCUGGGGAUGAGCCUCCUCUCAGUGGAGGGUCAGAAGGGUCAGUAUCUGGUGAGCACAGUCACCGGCGGUCCAGCAGAGAAAGCCGGAGUCUGCAGCGGAGACAGACUGAUCUGGAUCAACGGCGUCCUGGUCUCAGCACUCACGCACUCCACUCUCAGCAGAACUGUGAAGAGGGGCGUGGCCUCGGUGACGGUGCUGGUCGCUGACCGUGAUAGUGAGGCCUCCUACCUCAGGAGAAGGAUGCCCAUCCUGCCUGUGGUCUCCGAGUGCUGCAGACUCCCCCACACCACCAAGGCCAUGCACCUGGCUAAAGGCCUGGAUGGGUUCGGCUUCCUGCUGAGACAGGAGAGGCUGGCAGGCUCUCGACAGAUAGUCCAUGUGCUGAGGGAGGUGGAUGUGGGAAGUCCAGCUGAGGGGGCGGGGAUGGAGGAUGGAGACCUGCUGCUGGCUGUCAACGGGGAACCUGUUGAAUCCAUGGAGCAUGAGGACAUAGUCAAGAGGAUCAGACAGAGUGGAGACACAGUCAUCCUCACCUCGAUCUCCAUACCAGGAAGAGCAUUCUACAGAGAGUUGGACAUCUCUCCCCUGUUGUUCCAUCACAUCACAUGGACCCUGGACAGGAAGCAGACCAAGAACCAGAGAAGACAGGAGACAGACUCAGACCAGUCAGGACCUUCAACCACACAACUGUCAGGUGACACUUUCCUGUGAUGUCAUCAGCUCAGAGGAGGAAGAGGAAGAGAAGCUCAAGUUUAAACCAGCAGACUGUCUCUGACCUUUAUCAUCAUCAUCGCAUUGAGUCUCUGCGGCAGCAGCUUGUGACUUUCACCUGCUGGUGGUUCUGGGUACUGCAGCUGGUGUUGAUCCUGUGACAUUGACCGACCCGACAUCUUCACCCCUUAGUGUGUGAUGAUGAUGUGAAUGAAUGAGUCUUGAUGAAGGUGAGCUGCGAGGUCUUCCUCAUUUCCUUCAGGAAGAGAAAGAAGGAUGGACGACCAGGUGUGUUGUUUUUUAAAUGUUACAUUUAAUGUUUACAUCACUGUUCUCCAGGUGGAGCCUGUGGGCGGAGCCUGUGGGUGGAGUUCAGUCAGCUGAUACAUGUAUGUUCUGUAUAUACUGCAACGUUUAUUCAAAUGACAUCAAAUAUACAAACAGUUUCAGUAAAUCAGUCGUCCAGUAGUUGUUAGUUUCUACAAGUUUCAAAAUAGGAUUCAAGUUCUUCAUUCAACAAAGUAAAACAAAGAGGAAAAACCUGUAUCUACACAGAGGGGAAGGGGGAGGGGGGGGGGGGGGGGGCAGCGAGGACCACUGACAGCUGUGUUCAUUCCUGAGAAGAUUCCCACCAUUCAGUCUCCUACAGAAGAUGAUGAUGAUGAUGAUGAAGAGGUUACUCUUCAUCAGAAGAUGAGACUGAGACACAGAUCAAACAUCAGACCUUGAGUUUGACCCAGGACCCGGAGUCUGAUCUGGGACCCGGAGUCUGACCCUGGACCCAGAGUCUGACCCGGGACCCGGAGUCUGAUCCGGGACCCGGAGUCUGAUCCGGGACCCGGAGUCUGACCCUGGACCCGGAGUGAAACACAUGAUCGUCGUGAUUCACUUUCCAGCAGAAAAAACACUCACAAUCUGCUUCAGUCUGAAACAAUAAUAAUAAUAUUAAUUAUUAUUGUUAUGGUGUUUGUUCAUUGUGUGUUCUCUGACAUUAACCCUCUCACUGCCAAACACAACUCUAUGAAUACAUGAACCACCAGGUCCUGGAUCUGACUGAGACCACUUCAGACCUGGUUUCAGUGGAUCAGGAAUCAUUAACAACCUUUAUCUUUCCUGUGAUGACUCGGUUGAAUCAGAGAUUCAGAUUCAAUGAUCUGAUCAAUACUGAUAUUGAUCUGAUUAAAAGACAAAUACACCCCCCCCCCCCCCCCAUCAGGUCCUAUUCUAUCAAAGAGUAAAAUUGACUAACAGUCAGGAAACACUUGGCUUUAAUACAAACGUCUGAUGAUUCAAAUGUUGGGUGAAUGGUUUACACUUGGUGCAGGAGAGGGGGAGGGGUGGGGGCAGUAUAUUUUCAUCAUUUCAGUAUAAAAGCUUGAAUGGACAUUCAAGUGUUUGAAUUCAUCCCCACAUGAAGCAGAAAAGUGUGGAGGUAAACGAAGCCAAGAGGUAGAGACCAACACGGUGAAUCUCAUUUACAUAUUCACACAGUGUCGCCGUGAAGAAUCAUUAACAUCAGAAAACAAAGAUUUAU